AUAAUUUAUCUCCGUGUUGUAGCUAACGCGUUAAGCACUCCGCCUGGGGACUACGGUCGCAAGACUAAAACUCAAAGGAAUUGACGGGGACCCGCACAAGCGGUGGAGCAUGUGGUUUAAUUCGAUGCAACGCGAAAAACCUUACCACUCCUUGACAUGGAGAUUAGAUCCUUCUUAACAGAAGGGCGCAGUUCGGCUGGAUCUCGCACAGGUGCUGCAUGGCUGUCGUCAGCUCGUGUCGUGAGAUGUUGGGUUAAGUCCCGCAACGAGCGUAACCCUCAUCCUUAGUUGCCAGCGGGUAAAGCCGGGCACUUUAAGGAAACUGCCGGUGGUAAACUGGAGGAAGGUGGGGAUGAUGUCAAGUCAGCACGGCCCUUAUGGGGUGGGCUACACACGUGCUACAAUGGUGACUACAAUAGGUUGCAAUGUCGCAAGGCUGAGCUAAUCCGUAAAAGUCAUCUCAGUUCGGAUUGUCCUCUGCAACUCGAGGGCAUGAAGUCGGAAUCGCUAGUAAUCGUGGAUCAGCAUGCCACGGUGAAUACGUUCUCGGGUCUUGUACACACUGCCCGUCACGCCAUGGGAAUUGGCUUAACUCGAAGCUGGUGCGCUAACCGAAA
rnacentral:rRNA from 1 species